CCUACGGGAGGCAGCAGUAAGGAAUAUUGGUCAAUGGACGGAAGUCUGAACCAGCCAUCCCGCGUGCAGGAAGAAGGUCCUAUGGAUUGUAAACUGCUUUUAGCAGAGACGAAGACCUUUCAUUUAUGAGAGAGUGACGGUAUCUGCGGAAUAAGCACCGGCUAACUCCGUGCCAGCAGCCGCGGUAAUACGGAGGGUGCAAGCGUUAUCCGGAAUCACUGGGUUUAAAGGGUGCGUAGGCGGGGGAUUAAGUCAGUGGUGAAAGCCUGUAGCUUAACUACAGAAUUGCCAUUGAUACUGAUUUUCUUGAAUUGGGUUGAGGUUAGCGGAAUGUGACAUGUAACGGUGAAAUGUUUAGAUAUGUCAUGGAACACCGAUUGCGAAGGCAGCUAGCUGGGCCUUGAUUGACGCUGAGGCACGAAAGCGUGGGUAGCGAACAGGAUUAGAUACCCUGGUAGUCCACGCCCUAAACGAUGCUAACUCGAUGUUUGGAUUUAGGUUUGAGCAUCCAAGGGAAACCGAUAAGUUAGCCACCUGGGGAGUACGACCGCAAGGUUGAAACUCAAAUGAAUUGACGG
rnacentral:rRNA from 1 species